rnacentral:rRNA from 1 species
CACCGCGGUUAUACGAGGGGCUCAAAUUGAUAUAAUACGGCGUAAAGUGUGAUUAGAGAUAAACCCCACUAAAGCUAAACACCCCCUAUGCUGUCAUACGCCAUGGGGUAUACGAAGCCCAACAACGAAAGUGGCUUUAUAAAUCUUGAACUCACGACAGCUAGGGUA